rnacentral:rRNA from 1 species
GACGGAGGAUGCAAGUGUUAUCCGGAAUCACUGGGCGUAAAGCGUCUGUAGGUGGUCAAAUAAGUCAACUGUUAAAUCUUGAGGCUCAACCUCAAAAUCGCAGUCGAAACUAUUAGACUAGAGUAUAGUAGGGGUAAGGGGAAUUUCCAGUGGGAGCGGUGAAAUGCGUAGAGAUUAGGAAAAGACACCGAUGGCGAAGGCAUUUACUGGGCUAUUACUAACACUCAGAGACGAAAGCUAGGGUAGCAAAUGGG